UACAGAGGUUGCGAGCGUUAAUCGGAAUUACUGGGCGUAAAGCGUGCGUAGGUGGUUUCUUAAGUCCGUUGUGAAAGCCCUGGGCUCAACCUGGGAACUGCAGUGGAUACUGAGAGGCUAGAGUGUGUCAGAGGAUGGUGGAAUUCCCGGUGUAGCGGUGAAAUGCGUAGAGAUCGGGAGGAACAUCAGUGGCGAAGGCGGCCAUCUGGGACAACACUGACGCUGAGGCACGAAAGCGUGGGGAGCAAACAAG
rnacentral:rRNA from 1 species